UAUGAGUUAUAUACAUUGCUUGUAUUCAAUGGCCAAUGUUAUCCCCACUCAGACAUUUCGAUAAGCCAAUCCAGUUUUAAAUGAUCAACAAAUACAUGAAGAACAUAUGUUGCCCUUUCCUACGGAUCUUACCCAAACAACACAAUGGAUGCAAUGCAAACUAGAGAUGGUAUUGAUGAUACUAUAAUGGAGGAUCGUGGUCAAUAUUUUCCUGGAUAACCAUUAUGGUGUAUGAUACUUUAUUGUAAUGGAUUAUUUAUUGAGUGUGUAAACUCUAUUUAGAAAUUGGAUCUUGGAUGGAGUGGCUUGUUUUUUCAAGAUAUAGACAUUAUUUGCAUACUAUAUUUUUGAGUUGGACUACUAUUGUGUAUGUGAGAAAUUGGCUAAAUCCAUUAUGAAUUUUAUUCAUUUUAUGCCAUUAGC